UACGUAGGGUGCGAGCGUUAAUUGGAAUUACUGGGCGUAAAGCGUGCGCAGGCGGUUCGCUGUGUCCUGUGUGAAAGCCCCGGGCUUAACCUGGGAAUGGCAUGGGAAACUGGCGGGCUGGAGUGUGGCAGAGGGGGGUGGAAUUCCGCGUGUAGCAGUGAAAUGCGUAGAGAUGCGGAGGAACACCGAUGGCGAAGGCAGCCCCCUGGGCUAACACUGACGCUCAGGCACGAAAGCGUGGGGAGCAAACAGG
rnacentral:rRNA from 1 species